GGUGGUCCAAUUAAAAAAAACAAUCGCUAAAAAAUAGAAAAGCGAAAGCGGUCGACAAUUGAAGAAACAAAGGAUGAUCAUCAAAAGCCUCCGAUGUCCGUCAAAAGACGGCAAGGCUUCGCCGGAAAAUUCGGCGGAAAUAAAUGCGAAAAAAUCGGAAGGAAGAAGAGAGAAAAAUCUCCGGUAAUUGCGAAACGUAGUAAAUUACCGAGAAAAAUAAGAAGGAAGGGAAAAAAUCAAAUCGACGAUCGAA